UUUGUUGUUGACAUUUGACUCUGUGUUCGAGUUAUCCUCCAUUAUGCUUUCCAUACGGCUGAUUGGUCCGGGCGAAGUCAAAUGACUAAACACGCGAUAGAAUGUUUUUAAGGAGAAAGUAGGCCUAUCAACAGGAAUGAAUUAUCGGAA